GAAAUGCGAUAAUUAAUGUGAAUUGCAGAAUUCAGUGAAUCAUCGAGUCUUUGAACGCACAUUGCGCCCCCUGGUAUUCCGGGGGGCAUGCCUGUCCGAGCGUCAUUGCUGCCCUCAAGCACGGCUUGUGUGUUGGGCUUCCGUCCCUGGCAACGGGGACGGGCCCAAAAGGCAGUGGCGGCACCAUGUCUGGUCCUCGAGCGUAUGGGGCUUUGUCACCCGCUCCCGUAGGUCCAGCUGGCAGCUAGCCUCGCAACCAAUCUUUUUAACCAGGUUGACCUCGGAUCAGGUAGGGAUACCCGCUGAACGUAAGCA
rnacentral:misc_RNA from 1 species